GAUGAAGAACGUAGCGAAAUGCGAUACGUAGUGUGAAUUGCAGAAUUCAGUGAAUCAUCGAAUCUUUGAACGCACAUUGCACCUCUCGGUAUUCCGGGAGGUAUGCCUGUUCGAGCGUCAUUUGUACCCUCAAGCUCUGCUUGGUGUUGGGUGUUUGUUCCGCCUCUGUGUGUGAACUCGCCUCAAAACAAUUGGCAGCCGGCGUACUUGUUUCGGAGCGCAGCACAUUUUGCGAUCCAGAUCAACGUACAGCGGCAUCCAAGAAGCCUUAUUUAACGCUCUUGACCUCGGAUCAGGUAGGGAUACCCGCUGAACUUAAGCAUAUCAAUAAGGGAGGA
rnacentral:misc_RNA from 1 species